rnacentral:rRNA from 1 species
GACGAACGCUGGCGGCGUGCCUAAUACAUGCAAGUAGAACGCUGAAGAGAGGAGCUUGCUCCUCUUGGAUGAGUUGCGAACGGGUGAGUAACGCGUAGGUAACCUGCCUUGUAGCGGGGGAUAACUAUUGGAAACGAUAGCUAAUACCGCAUAACAAUGGAUGACCCAUGUCAUUUAUUUGAAAGGGGCAAAUGCUCCACUACAAGAUGGACCUGCGUUGUAUUAGCUAGUAGGUGAGGUAACGGCUCACCUAGGCGACGAUACAUAGCCGACCUGAGAGGGUGAUCGGCCACACUGGGACUGAGACACGGCCCAGACUCCUACGGGAGGCAGCAGUAGGGAAUCUUCGGCAAUGGGGGCAACCCUGACCGAGCAACGCCGCGUGAGUGAAGAAGGUUUUCGGAUCGUAAAGCUCUGUUGUAAGUCAAGAACGAGUGUGAGAGUGGAAAGUUCACACUGUGACGGUAGCUUACCAGAAAGGGACGGCUAACUACGUG